rnacentral:rRNA from 1 species
AAUCUUCGGCAAUGGACGAAAGUCUGACGGAGCGACGCCGCGUGAGUGAUGUAGGUCUUCGGUUCGUAAAACUCUGUUGUUAGGGAAGAAUAAGUAUCGACCGAAUAAGUCGGUACCUUGACGGUACCUAACCAUAAAGCCUCGGCUAACUGCGUUCCAUCAUCCGCGGGAAUACGUAGGGGGCAAGCGUUGUCCGGAAUUAUUGGGCGUAAAGGCAUCGCAGGAGUUCUUUUAAGUCUGAUGUAAAAUCUCGUAGAUUAACUACGAGCGGUCAUUGGAAACUGGAAGACUUGAAGCAAGAAGAGGAGAGUGGAAUUCCACGUGUAACGGUGAAAUGCGUAGAAAUGAGGAGGAACACCAGUGGCGAAGGCGACUCUCUGGUCUGUAACUGACGCUUAGGCGCGAAAGCGUGGGGAGCAAACA